rfam:Elusimicrobia bacterium GWC2_61_19 gwc2_scaffold_1762, whole genome shotgun sequence.
UACCCUUGUAAUCCCCCGAACAGGCGGGGGAGAAUCCACCGGCGGGCCUUAACCCGCUGUAACCAGGGGAA